rnacentral:rRNA from 1 species
UGAGGAAUAUUGGUCAAUGGGCGAGAGCCUGAACCAGCCAAGUCGCGUGAAGGAAGACUGCCUUAUGGGUUGUAAACUUCUUUUAUACAGGAAUAAAAAGGCUUACGUGUAGGCCAUUGCAAGUACUGUAUGAAUAAGCAUCGGCUAACUCCGUGCCAGCAGCCGCGGUAAUACGGAGGAUGCGAGCGUUAUCCGGAUUUAUUGGGUUUAAAGGGUGCGCAGGCGGGCUUUUAAGUCAGCGGUGAAAUCUGGACGCUUAACGUCCAAACUGCCGUUGAAACUGGGAGUCUUGAGUAUGGAUGAAGUAGGCGGAAUUCGUUGUGUAGCGGUGACAUGCAUAGAUAUAACGAGGAACUCCGAUUGCGUAGGCAGCUUACUAAGCCAUAACUGACGCUCAUGCACGAAAGCGUGGGGAUCAAACAGGAUUAGAUACCCUGGUAGUCCACGCCGUAAAACGAUGAUUACUAGUUGUAUGCGAUAUGAUAGUAUGUGACUAAGCGAAAAGCGAUAAGUAAUCCACCUGGGGAGUACGCCGGCAACGGUGAAACUCAAAUGAAUUGACGGGGUCAUAGCUG